AUUGAACGCUAGCGGGAUGCUUUACACAUGCAAGUCGAACGAGUGGCGGACGGGUGUGUAAUAUAUCGGAACGUGCCCAGUAGCGGGGGAUAACUAUUCGAAAGAGUGGCUAAUACCGCAUACUCUUUGUGAGGCCGAUAUGGGAUUAGCUAGUCGCUGGGGUAACGGAUCACCAAGGCAACGGGCCGUAGCCGGUUUGAGAGGACGACCAGCCACACUGGGACUGAGACACGGCCCAGACUCCUACGGGAGGCAGCAGUGGGGAAUUUUGGACAAUGGUGGAAACCCUGAUCCAGCCAUCCCGCGUGUAUGAGAAGGCCUUCGGGUUGUAAAGUACUUUUGGCAGAGAAGCGGUAUCUGCAGAAUAAGCACCGGCUAACUACGUGCCAGCAGCCGCGGUAAUUC
rnacentral:rRNA from 1 species